rnacentral:rRNA from 1 species
CGCGAAUGGCUCAUUACAACAGCUAACAAAUCUACUUGAUCUUGACACAAUCCUACUUGGAUAACUGUGGUAAUUCUAGAGCUAAUACAUGCAUUAAAGCUCUGACCUUCGGGGAAGAGUGCAUUUAUUAGAACAAAACCAAGCGGCUUCGGCUGUUUUCGGUUGACUCAUAGUAACUGAGCUGAUCGCAUGGUCUUGCACCGGCGACGUGUCUUUCGAGUAUCUGCCGUAUCAACUUUCGAUGGUAGUGUAUCUGACUACCAUGGUGAUCACGCGUAACGGAGAAUAAGGGUUCGGCUCCGGAGAGUUCGCCUGAGAAAUCGCGAACACAUCUAAGGAAGGCAGCAGGCGCGAAAAUUACCCACUCUCAGCACGAGGAGGUAGUGACGAAAAAUAACGAGACCGUUCUCUUAUGAGGCCGGUCAUCGGAAUGGGCACAAUUUAAACCCUUUAACGAGUAUCUAUGAGAGGGCAAGUCUGGUGCCAGCAGCCGCGGUAAUUCCAGCU